GACAGCUUGGCCGAGUGGUUAAGGCGAUAGACUAGAAAUCUAUUGGGGUAACCCGCGUGAGUUCAAAUCUCACAGCUGUCG
rfam:Phytophthora sojae unplaced genomic scaffold PHYSOscaffold_20, whole genome shotgun sequence.